rnacentral:rRNA from 1 species
UACGUAGGGCGCAAGCGUUGUCCGGAAUUAUUGGGCGUAAAGAGCUCGUAGGCGGCUUGUCGCGUCGGAUGUGAAAGCCCGGGGCUCAACCCCGGGUCUGCAGUCGAUACGGGCAGGCUAGAGUUCGGUAGGGGAGAUCGGAAUUCCUGGUGUAGCGGUGAAAUGCGCAGAUAUCAGGAGGAACACCGGUGGCGAAGGCGGAUCUCUGGGCCGAUACUGACGCUGAGGAGCGAAAGCGUGGGGAGCGAACAGG